rnacentral:lncRNA from 1 species
CACGGACAAAGCCCCUAUGUUUUGGUUGAGGUUUUCAAUCUUGGUAGUUCCUGGUAUGGGACACACAUCAUCCCCCUGGUGAUGGACCCAGGCCAGUGCUAGUUGUGAUGGAGUGCACCCCUUCCUUGUCGCAAUUUCACUAACCCGCUCAUAAAGGAUUUUAUUAUGCUCAAGAUUCUCUGGCUGGAACCUUGGAAAGUACUGCAAUUUAAACACACAUUUCAGUAACAAAAUUGAAAACCCGACAUAAAAAACGACAUAAUUGCAUAACAUCGUUAUUCAGAGAACAUAAAGGAUUAUACAUGCGCUUCUAACAUUAAUUGAUAAUACAAUUAAACAGGUUCCAAGUCAUAGUAUAGAAUCAAGCCCUCUUGUUUAAAUAGAUUAAAAGGGCAUUUAUUAACCAAUUGAUUAGGUUUUUGUGGCCUCAAAAAAUGGCAUGAGAUCAGGAAAGCACACUAUCAAAGAGAUAGACUAGAUAUUACAGAUAAAAUUCAUUUCCUUUCUCUUCUUGGCUCUACAAAUUAAAGGCAGUAGCUCCUUUUUUAGUUUUUGCCAAUAUUACUCCAUUUAAACUUCCUAUUGAAACAUUAUUACCUUGUUGAACAUUCCUCUGUAACACCACAAUUAAAAGAAGCAGGAAUAAGAAAUAGCAGUUCAUGUAUGAAUUAAAGAAGGUUUGGGACCCAACACAAUGUAAUCUAUAUUAUGAGAAUUAGAAGGCAUGUGGUAUGUAUACAAACCUUUCUCGAGUCAUUGUCUGAUAAGUUCUCAACCAUCUUGGCCCCUGAAGAAAGGAAUCCACGUCCUAGAGGGCUAUAUGCAACGAUCCCAAUGCCAAGUUCUCUGAGCAAAUAAGAAGGAUGAGUUAGAAAUUAAACUUUUAAAUGCCCCUCAAACAGCUUUUCGGUCUCAUAGAUGCCUCACCUGCAAGUUGGAACUAUGUCUUCCUCUACAUCUCUUGACCACAAGGACCACUCCAACUGCACAGCUGUUAUGGGAUGAACUGCAUGUGCUCUUCUGAUUGUUGAAGCAGAGGCCUCAGACAGACCUAUGUACUUUAUCUUACCCUCUUCAACUAAUUUCUUCAGUUCACCCACCUUAAUGACAAGCAUAUAUAAAAAAUGAAGAUUAAUUACAAAAAAAAAAAAAAAAAAAAUCUAAAAACAGAGAAAUUCAUAUAAAAAUUAAUAGAAAAAUGUGUAAGAUAAUCAUCAUACACUACUAUAGCCUUUUGUUAGAGUAAUCAAACCAAGUUGCAAACAUGGGUAUCCUUAAAUGUAAUAAUCUUGAGAAGAAAUUCCGGCUGGAUGAUUUACAGAAGGCCAGGGCUCUCUGAAUAGCUAACGAGUAAUACUCUCUUUUAAGUAGUCAAUGGUAGCACCUAUAGUGUCAACAUGUAGGUUUGCCCAACGCAAGAUGAAUCCUACCUCUAAUGACUUCAUGGCUGAAAUGGCUAGUAAGACAAUACUCAGUUUCCAGCAUAAAAUGGUUGAGCUUCUAUUUGGAAAGGGUAAAACUUUUGAAUGAAUUAUCAUCCAAAAGCAUUCCCCUCUAAUUUAACAAAAAUCCACCAAUCAACUUCUAAAAUUAUGACUGAACCAACCACACAAGAUCAAUCUAAUUAAUACCCAAAAAAUCGCUGAAGAAAGAGCGAAAAGGGCACAAACCGUGACUUCAAUGGGCACGCGAGUGUCGAUGCGAUGCUGGUAAUAGAGAUCAAUACAAUCAACCUCCAGCCUCUUCAAGCUCGCCUCGCAGCACGCCCUCACGUAAGCCGGGUCGCCGCGCGCGUCACGCACCCUGUCGUCGUAUAUAACCCCGAAUUUGGUAGCCAAUUCAACUUUCUCCCUCACUCCUCCUUUGAGAGCCUGUCCAACACCCCACCGAAAACCUUAAAGCAAUCACAUCGUUAACAUUGAUGAAAAGCAAGUAUUGAAAUGCAGGGAGAGAAUUGAAGGACCUUGCCGAGAAGGAUUUCAUUGGUGAAGGGCCCGUAGAUGUCGGAGGUGUCGAGGAAAGUGAUGCCGCUGUUGACGGCGUGGUGGAUGAGAGCGAUCAUGUCUUGUUCUGGCUUGGGAGGGCCGUAGAAGGCGGACAUGCCCAUGCACCCAAGUCCCUGUGCUGAAACCUCGAGGCCCUGUGAGCCAAGCUUCAUCCUCUUUACACUACUCAUCCUCCCUUACACUCUUUACCCUCUGCUGGACGGGGUUCCUACUUCCAAGUAUUUAUAAGCAGGCAGGGAAGUUCCCAGUUCUGAUAAUUUGAUCAAAAGGUCUAAACUCUUUCGUACACCUGACGUAAGUGCUUGCGAUGGACGCCACAGUCGCAAAGCUAGGGCCUGCUGGGUAGGUUGACAUCUAGUAUCACAUCAGAACCACAAAUAUGGAAAAGCAAACUUGCAUAGGGAUUUAGUCCAAUGGAUAUUUUCCGUAUAUAGAAAGAAAAAGAAAACACAUGCCCAGACACGCAAGAUCCUGUGCUGAAACCUCGAGGCCCUGUAAGCCCAACUUCGUUCUCUUCACCUUAUUACUCAUUCUUCCUACUGCCACACGUACUCUUCGCCAAACAUGGUGUAGUUUUGUUUUCUGUUUCCCGUACUUUUCUCCCGGCCAACAGAAUGGCUGCCAAAAGAGACCAGAGCUUUGACCCAAAAUGCUACACUUUAAAAAAAAAAAUCCAUAAAGUAAACUUAAUAUGAAAAUAAUGUCCAAUCAUUUGUGCCACAUAAAUUGCCACAUCAUAAAAUCAUAGUUGAUAACUACGAUUUUAUUUUUUUUAAACAUUCAAAACCGUAGUCAUCAACCACGGUAAAAAAGUUAAAACCGUGACUGGUGACUACGGCUUUGACUGUUUUUACAAAUAGUCAAAGACGUAGUUACUAAUUACGGUUUUAACUUUAAUUCUAAAACCGUAGUUAGUGACUACGGCUUUGACUAUUUUAAAAACAGUCAAAGUCGUAGUCAUCAACUACGGCUUCAACUUUAAUUUUAUAUAUAUAAAUAAUUAUAUUGCUUGAUUUAAAAUAUUUAACUUUAAUUUAUUUAAAUAAAAAUAUUAUAUUAUUUUGAUUUUAGAUAGACUAAAAAUAUGUGAGUGAUUUAAUAAAAAUAUUUAACUUAAAAUAUUAUAUUAUUUUGAUUUUAGAUUGACUAAAAAUAUGUGAAUGAUUUAAUAAAAAUAUUUAACUUAAAAUAUUAUAUUAUUUUGAUUUUAGAUUGACUAAAAAUAUGUGAGUGGUUUAAUAAAAAUAUUUAACUUUAAUUGAUCUCAUUAUUUAAAGAAUAAUAAUAUAUGAAAUUAAAUAAUUGAUGUCUUUAAUUUGAUAUAAAAAUAUUUUGGUUUAGUUUUAUUAAAAUAUUUGACACUAUACUCAAUAUAAAUAUAAUUAGUUAUAAAUAUACUAUUUUAUGCCCUCAUAAUGAAGAAUAUUAUAUUAUUUUGUAACUUUGUACAAAAAUUAAAGCCAAUUAUGCAUUUGUACAAAACAUAAUAUGACUUCAAGUGGGUAAAUAAUUGGAAAAUUACUUAAAUACAACAAAAAUAAUUUUAUUUUCUCCAAUUUUUUCCUUUCAAAAUGGGAUCAAAAUGGAAUGGAAUGGAAAUGCUUAAAAUUUUAACCUUAAAAUGCCAACCUAAUAGAAUUUGUUUUUCCACUUCUUAAAAUAUAGAAUUGUAGAAAGAAAAUACCUAUGUUUUUCCAAUCAAUUCACCAUUUAGUUUAACUGUUUUGGUAAAUAAAUGAAAAUGCUUUUAGAACAUUUUUGUAAAUUCAUUGAGAAUAAGAAAAAUGUUCCUUAUUGGGUUUUAACGGAAGUUUUGGACAAAAAUGAUUUCUUUAAAACAAAAAAUUCAUAAAUUAAUUUUAUUCUCAAAAUAAUUUUCAAUGUGAUGUGUGUCUUAUUCAUGAAGGUAUUUACAUCAUAAAACUGUAAUUGGUAAUUAUGAUUUUUUUUAAAUAGUCAAAAUAGUAGUUGGUGAUCAUAGCUUUAAAUUUAAACCUAAAACCAAUUUUUUUAAGUUCAAAUUUUAAAUCAUGCGAAUGUUCAAUUUUUUAAGAAUUAUUUUGAUUGGAGGUUAAGAUUGUAAAUUAGUUUUAAUGCAUUAUUUUUUCUAUAUUGAUAUAGUGUUGUUGUAACUAAUUAGUUACAAAUUUUUAGAUUGUCGAAUUGCUAUAUAUAUAUAAGUUCAAUUUAAGUUUAAAAUUGAUCAUAUUUUCAUUUAAAUAUAUAAUAAUUUGUUCAUAAUAAUAAUAAAAAAAAGUUAACAAUAUAAUGCAAAUGAAAAUAAACACAAAAACUAAAAACCAGUCCUCAAUGAGUGCCACAUGAUGGGGCCUUCCUCUUUCUCUACGGACGCCUAUGAUACACAGACAUCUUUGUGGAAUCUAACUGUGCAAUCUGCCAUGUCUCAGUAUGUAUAGGUUGAGAUGGAGCUGAUGGAGGCAAGACUCGACGUCUAUGUGGACCACGACGUCUCCUAGGUGGACAUAUAUCUAACUGUGUAACAUGUGUAAGGGUAUGAUGCAUGGUAGCCUCUAUGGGAAGAGGUGUAGGUGAUGGUAAAGUGGUAGAUGGUGGGGCGAUCUCAGCUUUAGUGAUAUCUGAUAUGGUAGCAUCUAGGAGAGGUGAUAUAGGAGAUGGAAGAAUGACAUCUACUGUAGUGGUAGCUGGUGCAAUAACAUCUGAUAUAGUGAGCUCGAGGAGAGGAAAUAUAAGUGAUGAUGGUGAGGUGACAUGUGGUGUAGUGGUCUCCUCGAGACAAGGUAAAGGUGAUGGUAGAUUAGUAGAUAGUGGGGUAGUCUCUGGUGUAGUGACAUCAGGUAUAGUGGCAUCUGUGGGAGGAAAUACAGGUGAUGGUAGAGUGGUAUCUGAUACGACAUGCUCUAAGGGAGAAGGUCUAGGUGAAGGUGAUGGUAGGGGUGAAGGGGGAAGUAUGGAAACCUCAGGUGCAAAUGGGGUAGAUGAUGUGGAUGGUGCUAACAUGGUCUCGGGUGGAUGCAUAGAUCGUCGAGGCUGUCGACCAACUCACCCACCAUCUCUCCUACUAUCUCUCCCUCGGCCUCGAAUAGGCUGCAUUUUAACUGUAGUAGCUGACACAGGUGGUCUCAUAGAUGGGUAUGAUGAUGUAGGCGACUGACGGGCAAAAUGUAUGCAAUGGUCCUCUCCAAUAACAUGCAAAAUAUCAAUAGCAAUCCGAUGAAUAUCGCCUAAUGCACCUGAAGUAGGCCCAGCAGAUCGACUAGCAAUCUCAACCAUACCAGUGAUCUAUUAAAAAAAAAAAAAAAAGUUAAACAGACGAAGAUGAUUUUAAUUAAUUAAAAUUUAAUAAACCAUUUGUAAAUACUAACAACUGAGUAGCUGCUGCUGUACUAUGAUACCUCAUCUGAUCUCUAUGGAGAGGGGGUGUAAUCAAACGUCGUGUAAUACGUUGGUACCACUCCAUAUAUGGAUCAUGAAACUGCAUAGCACCCACCAUAGGUGGUGCCGUCACAAUACGCUCCGCACGACUAGCCCAUAAGGUAAUAUAUUGUGCAUGAAAUGCCUCCCAAUCAUACUUAUGUCGUCCUCGCCUAUCCACGGAAUGGAGGUGUUGCUCUAUGGAACAAGAUGGAGGUAUCCCUUGUUGGAGGCCAAACUGUCGCAACACUCGCUCCAGUCGAUGCCACUUGACAAUGUCAAAGCAGAUAAGAGGUGACAUCGUCCUCCAAAUCUCCUGGUCUACUAGAGAUAUCGCCGCAAGAUGGGCAACUAAGUCUCCCAUGUAAGGCUCCCAUAAAACCUAUUAAAAUCAACAUUUGAAAUUAAUAAAGUUAACGUUUAUAUGGUUAACAAUAGCACAUUAGAUCUUAUAUGUACCUGGUCAUGGGUCUGUGCAUCUAAUUGGUCUCGAUAAAAUGUUAACACACGUGAUGGGUUUUGAGCCCAUGAUAAAGGUACUCUCCACCUACAUCCUAACGGAUCAGCUAGUAAACCCUCGUGUAACAAUGCCUCAUCCUGUAAUCCCUACUCUAAAUGCUCAGCUGGUAAAUCAUCGACUGCAUCAUGCUCUAAAUGCUGGGCUAUUGGAGGGGCUGGUGGUCGACCAAAAUCGGGUUGACCCAGGUGGAGUCUCUCCCAAGACCAUAACUGCAAAAAAAUGUAACAUUAAAAUUUUACUUAAAUUAUAAACUUGAAACAACUAGAAAUUUCAAUCUAAUGUGAAUAAUUAAUUAUACCUGUAAUAGUGUGACACAUCCAGCAAUAUCGGUGGCACCAUCCAAACUCGCUUGACACAACUCCCUAUAUAGGUGUGCUAAUACUACACUACCCCAACUAUACAUAGAUGUCUGAGUCAAGUCUCUAAGAAGUGGGAGAUAACACAUAUGUAUGUGAGUACCCUUCUUGUCUGUAAAUAGCGUUGAACCUAUGAGUCCUAAUAUGAAAGCCCGUGCAUACUGCUCUAAUGUGGCAUCAUCUAAAUCAACUGGUGGAUGAGAGAACUGGUGACAUAGCCAUCGUGUCAAUAUCACUGAUCCUUUAAUCUCAGAUGUAGGGGGAGUCACCCCUAAAAGUUCAUAACAUAGCAAUGACCAAUCUAUAUCACAUGUGCCAGUGAUGAGAAGCCCAUGAAUACGAAGACCUAAUAUGACAGCAACAUCCUGUAAAGUAAUGGUCAUCUCCCCAAUAGGUAAGUGAAAUGUGUGUGUCUCAAGACGCCAUCUCUCAACUAGACUAGUGAUCAAUCCCCAAUCUAGUGUAAUGUGUCCAAUACGAUAUACACCAUAAAAUCCAAAUUGAAUAAUAUAAGGUCGAAGACGAGGAUCCAUCUCCCACUCCCGCAUAAACCUAGAUAUAUGUUGUCAACAAGUCAAGACUGAAGCAAGCUGUAAAAAUACAAAUAAAUCAUUUAGAUAAUAAACUGCAAUUUUUUUCAUUCUUUAAAGAGAUAUUAUGUGUUUUCAUAUACAUACCUAACCAGAGUCAACUAAAUGAGACCUAUGUCUAUCCUGUAGAACCAAAAUAGAUGUAUCUAAUGGAUUUGGAUCAGAACUAUGUCCUCUAUACUCCAUAUCUGUAACAAAAUUGUGAAGAUAAAUAAACAAUACUUAUUGUUUUUAAAUAAAAAAUAUUUUUAAUGGAAAAUUUUUAAAAAUUUAUGGAGUUUUCCAUAUAUUAAGUAUAUAUCAGUUUGAUAAAUUUAAGAAGAUCAAUUCAUUUAUGACCAAUAAACAAGUCAUACUAGUUUAAAUUAAAAUUAGAGAUACAAAUACAAUGAAGCAUUUUGUUAACAUUUUUAAUAGAAAAUUUCAAAAUUUUGACAGAGUUUCCCCUAUAGUAUGGACAUUAUUCCAAAUACAAAUAACCUGAUUAGGCAAAUAACAUCAAUAUUUAUAAUCAAACCAAAGCCAAUAAUUGAAUAAAGGUAGUAUCAUAGUAGCUUACAUCACAAUAUCCAAGAAAAUUACAUGCACACAUCACAAGGUCUAAUCAACUCUAUUACUGUUUUGACAAGAACGACGAUUGUGGCCACUUUGUUUGCAUAACCCACAUGUAAUAGAAGUCUUGCCCUCCCUAACAUCCAUUUCAUUAUGUAAACGACUUGAUUUAGGUCGUCCACUCGAUGCACGUUUCAUCGACUCAGAAGGCAUGAUAAUCGGGCCAUCAUAAGGAGGCCACUCAUAUACAUUGAAAAUGGGAUGAAACAAGGGUGCUUAAGUAUUAUAGUACGAUUGUGUACUGUAGUAGUGUUGAAAAAGUGGUCUAAAAUCAACUGAACGAAAAUGACAUGCUGCUAGAAUAUGACUACAUGGGAAUCCAUAUAUGAGUGUUUUACCACACGUGCAUGCAUACUCCUGUAAGUUGACACGAUAUGUUCGACCACGAGUUAAGCUACUCUUAGUACCCCUAUUACUCUUCACAUGGAAUUGUCCUUGGAUGUGAUCAUAUAAAACAAUCUCAUGAGAUCCCGCCUUAACCAUAUUUGCCUUCAUCUUAGCAUCAACAUAUGGAGUGUAUUCCUCAGUUGAAGCAAGUCGAUUAGCACUUUGUUCCCUUCUCACAACAAAAUAACUAUUUAGCCGAAAAAAUGUCAAUUGAACCAAAGCAGUUACGGGUAAGCUAUGAGCCCCUUUAAGCACACUAUUGAACACCUCCGACAUGUUUGUACUCAUGAUGCCGUACCUUCGACCUCCAUCAUGAGAGUGCCCAUUUUUCAAAAGGGAUUGCUUCCAACCAUUGUUGUGCAGCUGCAUUAAUCCUCCCAAUUAUGUUCAUAUGUUUAUUGAAUUUUUCAAUCUUGGUUGCUAAGGCUACUCUGCACAUCAGAUUUUUCAAUAUUUUAUCCUUGAAUCGAGUCAUAAAAUUGCUAGCAAGAUGACGCAUACAAACCCUAUGAUAUGCGUAUGGCUCAGACCAACCAAGAUGAACAUCACUCAUUGCAGCCAUAAUGCCUAGAUGUCGAUCUGAUAUAACACAAAGUUUCCUCCUAUUAGUGCCUCUUGUUCUAAUACAUGUCAAAAACCAUCCCCAACUAUCAAUAUUCUCACCCUCUGUUAUGGCAAAAGCCAAUGGGAAUAACUGAUUAUUUCCAUCACAAUCCAUAGCAAUCAUUAAAGUGUCUUUAUACUUCCCAUACAAAUGUGUACCAUCAAUACUGAAUAAAGGCCGACAAUGCUUGAAUCUUUCAAUAGAUGGCUGAAAUGUCCAAAAAACUCGUUGAAAUAUUUAUGUAUUCUCCAUAAUACCAGGAAAUGUUUUUGAAAUUACAACACAUCCUGGAUUUGCCUGCUCUAAGGCAAUGAAAAAAUGUGGUAGCUCUGCAUAUGACUUAUAAAAAUCACCAAAUAAGUUUGUAAGAGCUUUAAGUUUCGCUUUAGAUGUCUUCUUGUAUGAUAUUUGGUAUCCGAAUUUCUCCACAAUACUUACUUGAAUAGCAGCCACUGACAAUGUGAAUUGUGCCUUAAUCAUUCCUUGGAUAUGAGCAGCAAUCAAGUUGGAAUCUAAUUGUUGAUGAUCUCGAUUCAAGCAAGGAUUUACACAUUUGUGGGGACCAUUGUAUUUAUUGAUUACAAAUGAAGUUGUACCUUUACAACCAUAGCACGAAGUUUCCAUGGACAUUGCGAUUGCUCAACCUUCUUGCAUCUUAGGACCAACAACUUUAUAGUUGACGAAACAACAACGUACUCUUGGUGUUGACUUAAAGAGUACAACUUCGCAACAUGUUGUGAAUCUGCUUUUGAAUUAAAAACUUGGCCAACCAUGAACUCUCCACCUGAGUUUCCAAUAUUAGUGUUCCCCCAUGGGGUCUAGUUACUUGAAACGGCGUUACCAAUGUUUUCUACAUUUUCAAACUGCAAUGAUGGUGUCGAGUGAUAGUGAAUAGGGGAAUACUCUAUUGGAUCAUCAGGAUCUGGGUUAUUUGACAUAUCACAACAUUCCCCAUCCACGGAGACAUAUCUCCCUUGUUCACUUUCCAUUGCUUCGUGAGGAGUUAAGAAAGAUGAAACAACAUUAACAUUAUUGUUUUCCUCAUCAAUAAAUUCGAACACCCCAUCGCCAUCAUGUUGAACAUCUUCUGCUCUCUCACUUUGAUCAUCACCUUCUUGGGAUUCACAUUCUUCUUCAUUUUCAUUUGCUCUACACUCAUAAGUCAUUGCAACUGGGGCACUACUAGGUCCACAAUCAUACUCAAAUUCCUCAACAUUAUCAUUUUGUCCGAGUAAUAAUUGUGUUAAGUUACCUAAAAAUUGUCCCCUCUCCCAUGGUUGUACUGACACUUGUUCAAUAUACAAUUCAAUUUCGUCCAUUCCAAAUGUAUUAACCAAUUUCAACAUUUGAGAUAAACUAUUAUCAUCCCAUAUUGGACAAGGUUGAAACCUAUUUUCCCUUUUUAAAGGAUAUCUACAGUUGAGGACUAAUUGAAAUUGUUUUUUGUCAAUGCCAGUUCUCGAGUAUAUCAUAGAUAACAAAUGUUCAUAGGUUCAAAUAACAGGCACAUUCAAAGGCACAAUUACAACUAGAUCCCCAAUAUACUUUACAUCUAUUUCUGUCCUCAACAUUUUUCCUUUACAAAAGCAAAUCACAGGGACAAUAGAUUCAGACAUGAUUUACCUACAAAAAUUACAAUAUCAAAUGGUUUAAUAAUCAAUGAAAAUAAUAGCAAGAGAAAUUGCAUAUAAUAUUUUAACAUGAGAAUACACAAUUAUAUAAUAAAACACAUUUUUACACAUUAGGAGGAAAAAUAUAAAUCACUUCAUAAUAAUAAUUUUUUUAUUUAAAUAGUUAUCUAUGAUACAAAUAUAAUCAUAGAUAAAUCUUUUAUAGAAUUUUAAUUUAAAACUUAGGUAGUGGGCUAUAAAUCAAUAAAUGUUGAGUUAAAAAAUUACAAUAAUCUUAAAAUUAAAUAAAAAAUAAUCCACCAAAUUUUUUUUAUUAUAAAAUAUCAUAUAUUAAAAUAAAAUUGAAUGUUAUGAACUAUUAAAUAAUAUAUAAUUUAAACAAUUAUGUUAUUAUUCAUGAAUCAAUUGAUAUUUGAUUAAAGCUAAAAGUCGAAAAAAAAAAUCAAAAUCAAAAUCAAAUAAAAGUAACUGACCAAAAAAAAAAUAUAUUAAUAAAAUAUCAAUUACACAAUUAUAAAAAUUUGAUAUAUGUGUUUAUUCUGUUUUUGGAAAGCUAGGUCCCUUCUUUUGACUAGUUUCAUUGAUCAGGAGCUGUCUAGGUGAGAAAUUGUGUGUGAAGAUUAAUCAAUAACCUAGGAUAAAUCAACAAUUUCAUAUGAAUUACCAAAUUGCAUAUCUAAAACAGGGGACAACAUGGGAUAUGGGAAGCAUGAUCUCAAAAAGAUAGUAGAACCAAGGAUGAGACAUCAGUUUUCAUGGAUAUAUCAGUAGUUGAAUUUUACGAAUAUACUAGGAUAUAUCGGGAAAUAUCAAUGGAAAUUUUGACAAAUAAAUCGAUGGAAGAAAUUUUGAGAAAAAAAAAAGAAAAAACAAGAANNNNNNNNNNNNNNNNNNNNNNNNNNNNNNNNNNNNNNNNNNNNNNNNNNNNNNNNNNNNNNNNNNNNNNNNNNNNNNNNNNNNNNNNNNNNNNNNNNNNNNNNNNNNNNNNNNNNNNNNNNNNNNNNNNNNNNNNNNNNNNNNNNNNNNNNNNNNNNNNNNNNNNNNNNNNNNNNNNNNNNNNNNNNNNNNNNNNNNNNNNNNNNNNNNNNNNNNNNNNNNNNNNNNNNNNNNNNNNNNNNNNNNNNNNNNNNNNNNNNNNNNNNNNNNNNNNNNNNNNNNNNNNNNNNNNNNNNNNNNNNNNNNNNNNNNNNNNNNNNNNNNNNNNNNNNNNNNNNNNNNNNNNNNNNNNNNNNNNNNNNNNNNNNNNNNNNNNNNNNNNNNNNNNNNNNNNNNNNNNNNNNNNNNNNNNNNNNNNNNNNNNNNNNNNNNNNNNNNNNNNNNNNNNNNNNNNNNNNNNNNNNNNNNNNNNNNNNNNNNNNNNNNNNNNNNNNNNNNNNNNNNNNNNNNNNNNNNNNNNNNNNNNNNNNNNNNNNNNNNNNNNNNNNNNNNNNNNNNNNNNNNNNNNNNNNNNNNNNNNNNNNNNNNNNNNNNNNNNNNNNNNNNNNNNNNNNNNNNNNNNNNNNNNNNNNNNNNNNNNNNNNNNNNNNNNNNNNNNNNNNNNNNNNNNNNNNNNNNNNNNNNNNNNNNNNNNNNNNNNNNNNNNNNNNNNNNNNNNNNNNNNNNNNNNNNNNNNNNNNNNNNNNNNNNNNNNNNNNNNNNNNNNNNNNNNNNNNNNNNNNNNNNNNNNNNNNNNNNNNNNNNNNNNNNNNNNNNNNNNNNNNNNNNNNNNNNNNNNNNCAUAUAUAUAUAUAUAUAUAUAUAUAUAUAUAUAUAUAUAUAUAUAUAUAUAUAUAUAUAUAUAUAUAUAUAUAUAUAUUAUUUCUAAUAUUCGAUAAUAAAUUAAUAAUAUAUAGAACUUGAAAACACAUUUUACAUUGAUAUAUCUAAAAGAUACAAAAGAAAUGAUGAUAUAUGUAUGAUUUUUAAAAUAUUUGUAAUUUUUUUUCUAUUAAGUUUAAUUAAUAAAAAAAAUAUGAACAAAGACUCAUUAAAAAAUUUAUGAUAAUCAUUUUUAUAUUUUUAAUACUUAAAUCAAAUUUGGAAAUAAGAUAAUUAAAAUUAAAUUAUUUAUUAGAUGUUUAUUUUAAUAUCUUAUGUAUGAUAAAAAUGUAUUAAAAAUAUAUUUGUCUCCAAAAUUCCUUUAUUUUUUUUUAUUAAAAUGAGAAAAAUAAAAAUUUGUGUGUGUGUAUAUAUAUAUUUAUUAACAAUUGUAAAACAAAAAUCACAUUAGUCCCACUAGUCAUGAACUUUUUUGCCAUGUAUAAGAACAAGGGGGUUUGAGUCCCAAUAUGGUUUUCCCAAAAUUUAAAUUAUUUAUGUUGUCUACCAUAUGAAGUAACACCCAUCUGGAGUGGCAACAAAAAGGUCAAGAUCAGAUUCUGAUGGCUAGGAUAAAGGCCUUGAACCCACCUUAAUAAUAGCAACCAUUACUUUGUUUUCGUGUACACACUUUCCUCUCUAAAUACAAGGCAAAAAAGAAAUUGUUUAAAUGAAGGGCUCUCAUUUUUUCUUCUUCAAACUUGGCAACUUCCAUACAUAUCAAGAAGAGAACUAUUAGGCAAAUCCUAAGUGGAAGAAAAUUAACAAAAGUUGAACUGUUACAAACUUAUACUAGAGGCCUUCUACUCCAAGUGUACUAAGCCUUUCAUUGUACCAUGUAUAUUGUGAAAAGAUCAUAAGCUUAAAGCUACUAUACUUUUUUUCUUUUUCACAUUAAUUACUUUUCUGCAUGGAAAAUGAAAGCAAAAGAGAAAAACAUGUCCCUUGACACUUUCCAUACCAAACAAUCCAUGGUCAGCGUUUUUGUCUAUUUUACUUGUAACGUUUAUGCACUGCACCUCAUUUACCAUUUUUGUAUUUCUCAAAAACUAGCUAGCUAGGUUCUGCUUGACAACCUUUAAUUGGUAGGAAUAAACUUCUUUUUGAGAACCCAAAUAUACUUAUGAAAUAGUACAAAAUUUUCCAACUUAUUCUCAUUAUUUUUAGAUUAUUUUUCAAAACACUCUACAAAAAAAAUAUGUGAAAAAUCCUUAAACUUAUUCAAACAAACCACUCUAUGUUUAGAAUAAAUUUUCAAAAGCUAUUUCCAGUCUACAACUUACCAAACAUUGAAAAACUAUUGUUUGUUCUAAAAACAAAAACUUUUUUAGAAAAUAGGCCCCUUAAAGGAUCCACAAGAUGAAUAGGGCAAAGAUUAGGGAGAUCAAUAAAAAAGGAUCAGACAAUGAGAUCUAUUAACAUAGUGUUCAAUCUAAACAACCUUGUUCACAAAAAAAAAAAACAAUGGGUCUAGUUUUUUCAUGAGUUUUACAGUGGUUAUUCAAAUUUACAUGGAAUGUUUUUGACAGUGAAAACGUAAGAUUGAACCCACAAGAAGGGAGAAAAACCAAGCUUUGAAGCUUACCUAUCCACAAAUACAGGAGAGCAACCUCAUAAGAAGAAGAAGAAGAAAAAGAAGAAUAUGCUUGUACUAAAGCUUUUGAUUAAGGUUUAAUUUGGAAGAGAAAGGCAAAGAGAUUCUUGAGGUAAACCAAAACAGUAGCAGGAGAAGGAGAAGAAGAAGAAGAAGAAGAAGCAGAAAGAAUAACUAAAAAGGAAGUUGAUCGUGAGCCCUGCCUUUCAUUCAAUUCAUAUGUUUCCCAUGCAAAUAUAUAUGAUGUAAGUCCGAAUAUUGGCUAAAAAUCUAGAAACGCAGAUAAUAAAUUUAAAAAUUAUUUUUUACAUUGGGGGUUUCAAGUAAAAUUUUGAAAAUAACUGACAGAUAGUUUAAAAAAUUGUCCUCAAAAAUUGUUUUUUAUAACAAUUUUAAAAAAUAGUACUAGACAAGUUCUAAUAAUUUCUUACUGAGUGGCAGAAUGAGAGAAAAUACAAAUAAAAUAAUUAAAAAUCUCAUAUAUACCAACUGAUGAAGGAUUGAAUGUUCAAGUUUUCAACUUUUCAUUAGUUCAAUAAAAUUACAAUAAAAGGAAUGAGAAUUUCUGCAGAUGCAAAGAAGAGAAUAGAUUUAAUAAUAAAAAAUCAUUAAAUUAUGUUCAAUUAGAAUCUCAUAGGAAGCUGAAUGGAAAAAAAAUCAAGUAUCACCAAACUAAAGAACUAUAUAAAAAAAUCUCAAGGUUCCAAGAAGUGGAGAACUAAACAACAAAACAUUUUGCAUAUAUUUUGAGAAUGGGUUUAAGAUUCUUGUUCAAAUAUUUGAAGAUAUACCAUCUGAGUGGUCCUCUCACUCUUGGUAACAAAUAUUUGAAGAUAUUUUCUAUUUCUAUAACAAAAAUCACCGGAGUUUUUUUACAGUGGUCCCCUCCAUUUUUGGUAUCUUUAACAAAAAGAAAUCCAUACUGGUCCCCCAUUCCAUAUCCGUUUUCUUUACCAAAAAAACCAUUUUCUUUCUGCUAAGCUCAAAAUCAAAAUAAAAUCAAACAUGUCUUUACCAAACAAAAACCAAACAAAUCUACAACAAAAAACCAAACAGAUUUACAAAAAAAAAAAAAAAAAUUAAAAUUUACGAUUAACUGAAAAAUUCAUAAAUCUUACCUGACAACGACUUCCAGAAUUUGAAUUUGAACCAAGGAUGCAACGGGAAGGAUGAAACCCUAAAGGGAAGAACGAAACCCUAAAGGGAAGAAAGCCAAUCGGGAAAAUGGAGAAACCUAAUGGGAAAGGGACAGAAAAGGAAUUCAAAACCAUAGUUACCAACUACGGUUUUGACCAAUUUAAAAAAAUUCAAAAUCGUAGUUACCAACUACAGUUUUAUGAUGUGGCAUUCCACGUGGCCCAGACGCACUAGAUUGGGCAUUAUUUUCAUAUUUGGUUUAGUUUAUGCAUUUUUUUUUUAAAAUGUGGCAUUUUGGGUCAAAGCUCAAGAGACCAAAUGGUUGAGUCAAUGGUAAUGGGUCAGAUGAAAUUAUUGGAACUAGGAAAUACAGAGAUUAAUAACCAUGAAAUUUUCUAAUAUAUACAUAUAUUUAUGUCAAUUUGGGCAUUACAUUUCAGCACUAUCCCAACAUUUUUUUUAUUAUACUUUUAUUUUAAUUCUAUUUUAAAUUUUUGGUUUUAACCCCUAAUUUUAGCUUAAAAUUUAAAUUAUUAAUUAAUUAUUUUUAAAUUGUAGGUUAUUUAUUCUUACCGCCUUUUUAACAUUUUUAAUUUUAAAUAAUAAUAAUAAUAAAACGAGAGAAAAAUAAUGAUAAAUAUUAAGAUUUUAUUUGAAAAGUGUUUUUCAAAAUAGUUGUAAAAAAUUAUUUUUUAAAAUUAUUAUUUAAUAUUUUAUAGAAUGAAAAUUUGUUUUAAAACUUAAAAUGUCCUUGACACAUUGGGUAUGCUUUUAAAUAUGUUUUAAAAAUAUUUUUUAUUUAAUUAUUUUUAUAAAAUAAUUUUAAAAAAUUUUAAAAUGUUCUUUAAAAAUUUAUUAUUUUUUACUUUUAAAAAACAAAAAAAAUAUUUUUUGUUUCUAUUUGUUUUAUUUUGGGAAUUACACUAUUUUGAAGAACUAAUGCCAAGUUAUGAUGGCUCAAUACCUGGCAACUGAUUUUUUCCUGAAAAGAAAGCAAAUAAAAUAUGGAAAGACCUUGCCAACAAAUGCAUUUGGGCUAUCACUCUACAAUUAUUAUAUGACUACCAUCUUGCCACUUGCUAGCGACCAUCUUACCACUUGCUAGCAACCAUCUUACCACCAACCUUCUUGUUGCUGUCACCACCACUACUCUAACUCAAGAACUGCGAACAACACUUUAAUUGGUCGCUAGGCUCAUGUCAAGUAACACAAUGUUGGGGGAUGGUGUAGUGUGUACUUUAGGUUUGUUAGUUAGUUGUAGCUUGUUGGAAGUUAUUUCAGUAAGAGUUAUUAAUAUAUUUAAUUACUAUAUUAGAAUUAUAUAUUUAGUUAUUAUAUUAUAAUUUUUUUUAGAAGUAAGGGUAAAUUAGUCUUUAUUUUCUUUUGUUAGGAAUAGUGUUAAUACCCUUUUUCAAGAGAAUUUAUAAUGAGAAAUUCUAAAUUUUUUUUCUCUUUCUUUUUCUCUUUGAAUAUUUUUUUUUCUAUUUCAACAUGGUAUCAAAGCUUAGUUUAGUGGGAGACAUGUUGGGAACUUUGAUGAAACUAAGAACAAUAACACAACAAGCUGGAUUGAAUGACACAUUUUAUUAACAAUAACUUUGGCUUAAAUAGCCAUUAAAUAUAGAUCUAAACAGAAAAAGAGAAAACAAAGGAGAUAAAGAUAAAGCUAAGUAACAGAAACUUGGAACAAUUCAAAUAUCCCUAAAGACUAGGACUUUCCUUAUAGAUCGGAAUAUUAUUCUAACAAAACAACUGCAGUAAAACUCCUUCAUUUCCUCCCUUAAACUAAAUGCUGUGAAGCAAUUAGUUUAUACCAAAAAUUUCACAUACUCUCAGCAGCUUUCAAAACUUCUGAAAAACUUCAAGCUUCAAUGGUUUGGUCAUUAUGUCCGCCACUUGAUCCUGACUCCCAUAAUGAACUAAUUCAAUUGUACCCUCUUUAGCAAGAUUCCUUAAGAAAUGAAACCUCACGUCAAUAUGCUUGCUGCGACCAUGCAUAAUUGGAUUUUUAGACAACUUGAUGGUUGAACUGUUGUCACACAUCACAGUAGUACAACCUUCAUUAGGAUGUCCCAGCUCUUUUAAAAUUCUCUUCAUCCAGACUCCUUGACAAGCACAGACUGCAACUGCCACAAACUCAACUUCUAUGGUUGAUAAAGUCACAAUAGGCUGUUUUUUUUAACACCAUGAAAUAGCACUUGAAUUCAUUAAGAACACAUAACCAGAGGUACUCUUCCUAUCUUCCAUAUUUCCAGCAUAAUCGCUAUCCGUAAACGCCAACAACUCACCAUCUCCUCCUUUCUUAUAAUAAAUUCCAUAGUUCACAGUCCCUUUUAAGUAUUGAAGUGCUCUCUUAGCUGCCUGUAGAUGAAUCUCCAUUGGUUUUGCCAUAUAUCUACUUAUGAGGCAAGUAACAAACAUUAUGUUAAGUCUCGUGGCAGUGAGAUACAUUAAACUACCCACCGGUUGCUUGUGGUACGUCUCAUCAACAAAGUCUCCAUUUUUGUCUCUGCUUAUUUUGAAACCGAGAACUAUUGGACUGCCCACCAAGUUACUUUCCAUCAUACCAAACCUUCUCAAAACCUCCAGUGCAUAUUUCCUUUGGCAUAUAUAAAUACCAUCAGACUUUUGUAGCACCUCGAUCCCAAGAAAAAACCUCAUCUUCCCCAAAUCAAACAUAUCAAACUCUCUUAACAUAAAGCUUUUAAAUUCAGACAUCAUAACUUCAUCAUUACCAGUAAAAAUUAAAUCAUCAACUUACACUUACAAUGAUAAUUUUUCCUUCUCUACUUCUCUUUGUGAAUAAUGUCUGCUCGCUAUCGCACCUCCGAAAUCCUUCACCAAUGAAAUGUGCUUCGAUUCGACUAAACCAA